ACCAGUGUGGUGUAGUGGUAUGAGUGUUGGACUACAACUCUGGAAAUCAGGGUUUGAUUCCCUGCUCAGCUA